GCAGUCGAGCGGACAGAUGGGAGCUUGCUCCCUGAUGUUAGCGGCGGACGGGUGAGUAACACGUGGGUAACCUGCCUGUAAGACUGGGAUAACUCCGGGAAACCGGGGCUAAUACCGGAUGCUUGUUUGAACCGCAUGGUUCAGACAUAAAAGGUGGCUUCGGCUACCACUUACAGAUGGACCCGCGGCGCAUUAGCUAGUUGGUGAGGUAACGGCUCACCAAGGCGACGAUGCGUAGCCGACCUGAGAGGGUGAUCGGCCACACUGGGACUGAGACACGGCCCAGACUCCUACGGGAGGCAGCAGUAGGGAAUCUUCCGCAAUGGACGAAAGUCUGACGGAGCAACGCCGCGUGAGUGAUGAAGGUUUUCGGAUCGUAAAGCUCUGUUGUUAGGGAAGAACAAGUGCCGUUCAAAUAGGGCGGCACCUUGACGGUACCUAACCAGAAAGCCACGGCUAACUACGUGCCAGCAGCCGCGGUAAUACGUAGGUGGCAAGCGUUGUCCGGAAUUAUUGGGCGUAAAGGGCUCGCAGGCGGUUUCUUAAGUCUGAUGUGAAAGCCCCCGGCUCAACCGGGGAGGGUCAUUGGAAACUGGGGAACUUGAGUGCAGAAGAGGAGAGUGGAAUUCCACGUGUAGCGGUGAAAUGCGUAGAGAUGUGGAGGAACACCAGUGGCGAAGGCGACUCUCUGGUCUGUAACUGACGCUGAGGAGCGAAAGCGUGGGGAGCGAACAGGAUUAGAUACCCUGGUAGUCCACGCCGUACACGAUGAGUGCUAAGUGUUUAGGGGGUUUCCGCCCCUUAGUGCUGCAGCUAACGCAUUAAGCACUCCGCCUGGGGGAGUACGGUCGCAAGACUGAAACUCAAGGAAUUUGACGGGGGCCCGCACAAGCGGUGGAGCAUGUGGUUUAAUUCGAAGCAAC
rnacentral:rRNA from 1 species